AAAAAACAGAGCGAUGUUAUAGAGUACAGAAACAGUACACAGAGACAAUUUUACGCUUAUUUAAUUUUAUUUUAAAUCUUUGGUGCUGGUUAUUUUUCAAUUUUUGGUUGGAACAUCGUAGUCAAGUAAAAAAGAAGCAUUUGAUUAAAUGUUGUCUUAUAUUACAGUAGCAAUGCAUAUAUAUAUAUAUAUAUAUAUAUAUAUAUAUAUAUAUAUAUAUAUAUAUAUAUAUAUAUAUAUAUAUAUAUAUAUAUAUAUAUAUCCGACAAUUUCUUGACGAAAUUGAUAUUUGUAUUAAUAUAUAUAAUUUAUCACAUGUGUAGUAGAGUGAAAUUUUAUAGGUUUUUAAUAUUUUAAUUUCAGAAUACUAGUAUUGAUUUCUUCAUUAUUAUUGACAUGUUCUAAUCAAUUUGUUACAGGAAUUUUACUAUUGCAGAAUUCGAUUUAUUUAAUUACAUAACAGAAAAUGAUUUAUCAGUGGUGAAUAAAUAAAUUAUUUAGUUGAAUUAACUUAAAUUGAUAUUUUGUGUUUGUUUUUAUUUACAUUGGUUACUCCUCUUUGGAGUGCACCUGUAGAUUCUAUUUAUAGCAUUUAUUUGAGUGGUCACUUAGAUCUGGUCAUGUGAUUUGUUUAUAGGGGUACUUAUAUUUGUUCAUUCUGACUCCUGAAUUUCAUGCUAAGAGGCUAGCCAUGCGGUUUUAAUUGCCAUAUUAGAAUUUUGAAGUUGUUCUAUAUUUUAUUCAUCUUUGAAGUAUUUUCCUGCACUUAGAAGGUUAGUUCUUUUAGUGUAUUACAGUGUAAUUGGGUUUACAAUUUUUUAAAUUAUUUAUUUAUCUAUUUCCACUUCUUUUCCCACUUUGAAUGAAUGUUGGAAUGUUUAAGAUAGAAUAAGAGGAGAGUGAAUGGCUAAUGUGAGUUUAUAUUUGUAUAAAUGCAGUCAGUAAUUAAAGUAAUAAUCUUCAAAUUAAGUUUAACAGGUGUAAAUAAUUAUGUUUUUUCUUAAUAAGUUUAAAAGCUAGGAGAAAGAGUGUGAGUGCGUUAUAAUUAUAAAUUUUACAGUUUUAAAAUGCUUAAAUAUAAAUAUCUAUACAUUUCAAAAUCAUAUUUCUAUCACAUUUAGUUUUGACAUACAUUUACACACGACCUACAUGUAACUGGUAGAAGUUUCCAUGACCUUCGCACCUCAUGGGAGGGUCGGGGAAUUUUAUUCUGUAAUUUGCCAUACACAAAUAAACCUACAAUUACCUAU